rnacentral:lncRNA from 1 species
CGCGUGCAUGCUCAGCAGGUGCAGGCCCUCCCAAGGUUCUGCGCUGCCUCCAACUCCUCUGGACCCAGCUUCUCUAGCGGUGAUUGGAGUUGUGGUGCUCAGCGCCGAUCUUGUGUGCUGAUAAAAGCUGCGGGGAUUGUCGAGGUCUUCCUAGGGCGGUGAAAGGGGGGGGCCCAGCUUCAGAUCCGGCGAGUUUUCCACUAGCCUGGCUGCGGCUGUUAACAGCCUGUUCAGAUUCGUCGUCAAAUUGGAAGCCCCCGAGAGGAGACAGCCAAAAUACUGAGGACCCGCAAAUGCAGACCGGGGAGACGGAAAGGGAGAUCCCAUCUCACUGGAGUAAGGUGGAGGAGCUGAAACAAAAAUUGGUACCCAGGCCAUGACAGCCCUGGAUACAGCUAUCCACAGACAAGAAAGAGCUUGGUUUUCCUGUUUUGAAGCUAAGUUGUGUUGGGCCCCUUCUAGGGACUAGAAGUUUUGUAUACUUUAUGAGGUAGAUACUGCCAUCUAUCUCUAUUUUACAGAUGGGGAAACGGAGGCCCUGGGCAGCAGUUUGAAGAGCAGAGCCUUGGACCAGAGGAUCUCAAGUAUGUGUGCUGCAGACCCUUCUGGCUGCCUGAAGAAGUCCAGGGACUCCUCCCCAGAACAACUCCUUUGAACAACAAAGAUAGCUGCAUGGUGGUGAUAGACAGACUCCAUUCAGCUUUGGAGGAUAGACUAAUACCACAGCGCCGACUGGAGAACCACGGAG